rnacentral:piRNA from 1 species
UGUCCCCUUAUUCGGGCAUUCAGAAC